AACGCUGGCGGCAGGCCUAACACAUGCAAGUCGGGCGGUAACAGGGAGAAGCUUGCUUCUCCGCUGACGAGCGGCGGACGGGUGAGUAAUGUAUGGGGAUCUGCCUGAUGGCGGGGGAUAACUACUGGAAACGGUAGCUAAUACCGCAUAAUGUCUACGGACCAAAGCGGGGGACCUCCGGGCCUCGCGCCAUCAGAUGAACCCAUAUGGGAUUAGCUGGUAGGUAAGGUAACGGCUUACCUAGGCGACGAUCCCUAGCUGGUCUGAGAGGAUGAUCAGCCACACUGGGACUGAGACACGGCCCAGACUCCUACGGGAGGCAGCAGUGGGGAAUAUUGCACAAUGGGCGCAAGCCUGAUGCAGCCAUGCCGCGUGUAUGAAGAAGGCCUUCGGGUUGUAAAGUACUUUCAGUCGGGAGGAAGGUGGUAAGGUUAAUAACCUUAUCAAUUGACGUUACCGACAGAAGAAGCACCGGCUAACUCCGUGCCAGCAGCCGC
rnacentral:rRNA from 1 species